rnacentral:misc_RNA from 1 species
AAUUCUCAACUCUGUCUUUCUUUUUGAAAGACUGAGCUUGGAUGUGGAGGCUUGCCGGUCCCGCUCGGGUCGGCUCCUCUCGAAUGCAUUAGUGAGACCCCUUGCGGCCUCGGUGUGAUAAUUGUCUACGCCGUGGCUUAGCUGUCGUGGGCUUUGCUUCCAACCGUCUCCUCGGAGACACUUCAUCGAAAC